rnacentral:rRNA from 1 species
CCUACGGGGGGCAGCAGUGGGGAAUAUUGCGCAAUGGGCGAAAGCCUGACGCAGCGACGCCGCGUGAGGGAUGAAGGUCUUCGGAUCGUAAACCUCUGUCAGCAGGGAAGAACGGUCACUGUGCUAAUCAGCAGUGAAUUGAUGGUACCUGCAAAGGAAGCACCGGCUAACUCCGUGCCAGCAGCCGCGGUAAUACGGAGGGCGCUAGCGUUAAUCGGAAGUACUGGGCGUAAAGCGCUCGUAGGCGGUAUGUCAAGUCAAGGGUGAAAUCCCCGGGCUCAACGUGGGAACUGCCAUUGAAACUGGCAAACUGGAGUGUGUGAGGGGAAAGUGGAAUUCCAGGUGGAGGAGUGAAAUCCGUAGAUAUCUGGAGGAACAUCAGUGGCGAAGGCGGGUAUCUGGCACAUAACUGACGCUGAGGAACGAAAGCGUGGGUAGCAAACGGGAUUAGAUACCCGAGUAGUC